rnacentral:snRNA from 1 species
GAAGAACAAAAUGUGGGCAAAA